rnacentral:rRNA from 1 species
CCUACGGGAGGCAGCAGUGAGGAAUAUUGGUCAAUGGACGAGAGUCUGAACCAGCCAAGUAGCGUGAAGGAUGACUGCCCUAUGGGUUGUAAACUUCUUUUAUAUGGGAAUAAAAUGUUCCACGUGUGGGAUUUUGUAUGUACCAUAUGAAUAAGGAUCGGCUAACUCCGUGCCAGCAGCCGCGGUAAUACGGAGGAUCCGAGCGUUAUCCGGAUUUAUUGGGUUUAAAGGGAGCGUAGGUGGAUUGUUAAGUCAGUUGUGAAAGUUUGCGGCUCAACCGUAAAAUUGCAGUUGAAACUGGCAGUCUUGAGUACAGUAGAGGUGGGCGGAAUUCGUGGUGUAGCGGUGAAAUGCUUAGAUAUCACGAAGAACUCCGAUUGCGAAGGCAGCUCACUGGACUGCAACUGACGCUGAGGAGCGAAAGCGUGGGUAGCAAACAGGAUUAGAUACCCUGGUAGUC